rnacentral:tRNA from 2 species
ACUUAAAUAGCUUAUUUAGAGCAUAAUAUUGAAGAUAUUAAGGAAAUUUAGAUUUUUAAGUA